rnacentral:rRNA from 1 species
UGGGGAAUAUUGGACAAUGGGCGCAAGCCUGGUCCAGCCAUGCCGCGUGAGUGAAGAAGGCCCUCGGGUUGUAAAGCUCUUUUGUCCGGAAAGAAAAGCACUUGGCUAAUACCCAGGUGUCCUGACGGUACCGGAAGAAUAAGCACCGGCUAACUUCGUGCCAGCAGCCGCGGUAAUACGAAGGGUGCAAGCGUUACUCGGAAUUACUGGGCGUAAAGCGUGCGUAGGUGGUUCGUUAAGUCUGAUGUGAAAGCCCUGGGCUCAACCUGGGAAUUGCAUUGGAUACUGGCGGGCUAGAGUGCGGUAGAGGAUGGCGGAAUUCCCGGUGUAGCAGUGAAAUGCGUAGAGAUCGGGAGGAACAUCCGUGGCGAAGGCGGCCAUCUGGACCAGCACUGACACUGAGGCACGAAAGCGUGGGGAGCAAA